CCUUGAACUUGCAGUGAUCAUCCUGCCUCAGCCUCCAGGGUGCUGAGAUUACAGGUGCCACCGUGGCUGUCUGUGUACACUACUUUGUGUGGAGGCAUGUUGUACAAAUGUGAGGAGUGGUCACUGCUGACAUCUCAAGGAGGAGGCCAGGCUUGGACUGUGUCUCAGCAGGGUUGAGGUGGCGCCCAUGGAGGCUGUGGCCGCGCUGGCCCAGACUGUGUCCCUCUCUGGCUGCUUCCUGGGUCCCCUAAGACGUCUCGAGGGUGGAGAGGCAGCAUUUCCUUAGCACCUGCAUUUCUAAAGGCCAGAUGCUGGGCCGGGAUGGCCUCACCCAGGGACUGGCAGUGACCCUGCUCUCCCAGCUUCUGUCUUGUGUUCACACCACCCAGGGGUAGGCCGCGCGGUGGGAACGGCUCAGCGUCACAGCGGAGACCCAGAGGUGACCGGGCGGCUUGCGCACAAAGGCGGGCUCCUGGUGUGUGUGUCUGGAGCUCACCAGGGUCUCUAGUGGUGGCAGAGUGGGUGACAGAAGAGCAGGGUCUGGAGCCAGGGCCCCUUUGUGCUGCAAGCCUAGGAGGGCGGGGCCAGGAGGGAUUAUGGGUAAGUGGAUGUCAGGAGGGGACGAGGAGAGGCCAGGGGGGUGGGGAGGGGACGUGGGCAGCUGGCGAGCAUGAGGCAGUGGGUGGGGUUGGGGCCGCCGCUCCCAUUAUGUGGCUGUCAUCAAAGUGCCCGAAUGAAUGAAGGCUGGCUCUGUGUCUGCUGCUCCCUGAAGCACAGGAGGAGGGACUGCUGGCAGCUCAGCGCGGUGGGCAGCCGUCACUUCCAGGCAGAGGCCCUGAGGUGGCUUGCACUCCUCCUGCUGUCCCUGGCUCAGCCACUCCCGGUGGCCCUGUCCCCAAGGACACCAUGAAGGUUUCCUAAUUAAGCUGUUAGCUGCGUGGAGACCCGGAUGAGGCUGCCUGGUAGAGCGUGGCCAUGAUUUUGAACAUCAAAGGAGCCCUGGCUCACGGCUGAACCCCGGCGUGGCUUUUGAAGAGCUGCAUCGUAUAACAGAGAUGGAAAAAGAGGCCCGUGAUGCCAGUGUGGCCUAGUUAUGCUCCACCUGGAAAGGUAGGCGGGAGCGAGUGACUCUGAUUCUCUCCAGCACGCAUGGGGAAGGCUGACUGAGCAUCCAGGACAGGCCUUGGAGUAGUUGGGUGGGCUGGGUUUCCAUGGCUGAACCUCGCAUCGACUCUAGGAAAGGAGAGAGCAAUCGCAAGGCACCUGUCCAUCCAUGCGCGGCGAAGGCUGUCGGGUUUCCGAGUAAAUGAUCACAGAGGAGUCCGGGUUCCUCCGCCUGCCAGGAGGACCUUCCUCAAUUCAUGUUCACC
rnacentral:lncRNA from 1 species